AGAGUUUGAUCAUGGCUCAGAUUGAACGCUGGCGGCAUGCUUUACACAUGCAAGUCGAACGCGAAAGCGGGGCAACCCGCGAGUAGAGUGGCGAACGGGUGAGUAAUACAUCGGAACGCGCCCUUUAGUGGGGGACAACGCCGAGAAAUCGGCGCUAAUACCGCAUACGCCCGAAAAGGGGAAAGCGGGGGACCGCAAGGCCUCGCGCUGUUGGAGCGGCCGAUGCCCGAUUAGCUAGUUGGUGGGGUAAUGGCCCACCAAGGCUACGAUCGGUAGCUGGUCUGAGAGGAUGAUCAGCCACACUGGGACUGAGACACGGCCCAGACUCCUACGGGAGGCAGCAGUGGGGAAUUUUGGACAAUGGGGGCAACCCUGAUCCAGCCAUGCCGCGUGAGUGAAGAAGGCCUUCGGGUUGUAAAGCUCUUUCGGCCGGAACGAAAUCGCGCGGGCGAACAAUCCGCGUGGAUGACGGUACCGGAAUAAGAAGCACCGGCUAACUACGUGCCAGCAGCCGCGGUAAUACGUAGGGUGCAAGCGUUAAUCGGAAUUACUGGGCGUAAAGCGUGCGCAGGCGGUCGCGUAAGCCAGAUGUGAAAGCCCCGGGCUUAACCUGGGAAUUGCAUUUGGUACUGCGUGGCUAGAGUGCGGCAGAGGGAGGUGGAAUUCCUGGUAGCAGUGAAAUGCGUAGAGAUCAGGAGGAACACCGAUGGCGAAGGCAGCCUCCUGGGCCAGCACUGACGCUCAUGCACGAAAGCGUGGGGAGCAAACAGGAUUAGAUACCCUAGUAGUCC
rnacentral:rRNA from 1 species